rnacentral:rRNA from 1 species
CCUACCGAUUGAAUGGUCUGGUGAAGCGUUCGGAUCGCAGCGACGUGGGCGAUUCGCUGCCCUCGACGUCACGAAAAGUCCAUUAAACCUUAUCAUUUAGAGGAAGGAUAAGUCGUAACAAGGUUUCCGUAGGUGAACCUGCAGAAGGAUCAUUUUCGAAACCUGCCUAGUAGAGCGACUUGUGAACGCGUUGUAAAAAACACCGGAAGUGUCGCGGGUGCAUCGUCGCCUCUCACCACCCCUGCGUGUCGGAGCGGCCAGCCUUUUUGUCCCUUUUCCCAUUAGGUGGGGUGACAUGUCAAGAUCAACCUCUUCGAUGCAAAACGAACAAACCCCUGGCACGAAUGUAGCUAAGGAAUCGAAAUGAAAAAAAGGGACACAUCUUCUGUCGCAACACCGUUCGUGGUGUUAGUGCUUGAGUGAUGUUGUUCUUUUGUCACAAAAUGUAUAGAAUGACUCUUGGCAAUAGAUAUUUCGGCUCUUGCAUCGAUGAAGAACGUAGCAAAAUGCGAUACUUGGUGUGAAUUGAAAAAUCCCGUGAACCAUCGAAUCUUUGAACGCAAGUUGCACCCCAAGCCAUUAGGCCGAGGGCAUGUCUGCCUAGGUGUCACGCAUCGUCACCCCUAUCCAACCCUAAUCCCUCGAGACUCGGUUAGAUCGUGGGUAGAAAUUGGCCUCCUGUACGCUCACAGCCAGCAAUUGGCCUAAAUUCAAGUCCUCGAUGACAUCAUCAUUAUGACUAUUGGUGGUAAUGCUAUAAGCAACCUCAUUCGGAGUCGUGCACGUUCGUCGAUCGUGACCCUUGAACCUUUUCGGCAUCGCAAGGACAGUGCUCAUAUCGUGACCCUAGGUCAAGCAGGAUUACCCGCUGAGUUUAAGCAUUUCAAUAAGUGGAGGAAAUGAAACUUACCAGGAAUCCCCUAGUAACGAUAAACAAAUCGGGAAAAGGCCAGCUUGAGAAUUAAGCGCCAUAGAUGUCUGAGUUAUAGUCUGGAGAAGCGUCCUCUGUGGCAGACUGGGCCCAAGUCCCUUGGAAAGAGGCGCCGGAGAGGGUGAGAGCCCCGUCGUGCCCUGACACUGUCGCACCAUGAGGCGUUGUCUACGAGUCGGGUUGUUUGGGAAUGUAGCCCUAAUCAGGCGAUAAAUUCUGUCCAAGGCUAAAUAUGCUAAGGAGUGUGUAACAACUCACCUAUCGAAUCAACUAGCACCCGAAAAUGGAUGACGCUUAAGCGCACGACUUAUACCUGGCCGUCGGGGCAAGGGCCAGGCCCUGAUGAGUUGGAGGGCGCAACGGUCGCCGUAAAACCCUAGGCGUGAGCCCAAACAGAGCGGCCGUUGGUGCAGAUCUUGGUGCUACUAGAAAAUAUUCAAAUGAGAACUUUGAAGGCCGAAAAGGGGCAAGGUUCCAUGUGAAUGGCACUUGCACAUGGGUUAGUCGAUCCUAAGAGACAGGGGGAAACCCGUUCGAUAGUGCGCUCAGUACGAGCUUCGAAAGGGAAUUGGGUUAAAAUUUUUAAACCAGGACACGACAGCUGACGGCAACAUUAGAGAGUCCGAAGAUGUCAGCGGGGGCCUCGGGAAUAGUUAUCUUUUCUGUUUAACGGCUUGCUUACCCUGGAAACGGUUCAGUCGGAGGUAAGGUCCAGUGGUCGGAAGAGCACCACACGUUGCGUGGUGUCCGGUGUACCCUCGGUGGCCCUUCAAAAUCCAGAGGGCCGAGUGCCAUCCGUACUUGGUCGUACUACUAACUGCAUCAGGUCUCCAAGGUGAAUAGCCUCUGGUCAAUGGAACAAUGUAGGCAAGGGAAGUCAGCAAAAUGGAUCUGUAACCUCGGGAAAAGGAUUGGCCCUGAGGGCUGGGCACAGGGCUCCCGGUCCCGAACCUGUCAGCUGCUGGUGUACUACUCGAGCUACUCCCGCGGUGAGAGUGGGUCACUGCGUGUCGACCGGGGAACGGACUGGGAACGGCUCCCUCGGGGGCCUUCCCCGAGUGACGAACAGUUGACUCAGAACUAGAACGGACAAGGGGAAUUUGACUGUUUAAUUAAAACAAAGCAUUGCGACGGUCCCUGUGAUGCUCACGCAAUGUAAUUUCUACCAGUGCUCUGAAUGUAAAAGUGAAGAAAUUCAACCAAGCGCGGGUAAACAGCGGGAGUAACUAUGUCUCUCUUAAGGUAGCCAAAUGCCUCGUCAUAUAAUUAGUGAUGCGCAUGAAUGGAUUAAUGAGAUUCUCACUAUCCCUGUCUACUAUCCAGUGAAACCAAAACCAAGGGAACGGGCUUGGCAAAAUCAGUGGGGAAAGAAGACCCUGUUGAGCUUGACUCUGGUCCGACUUUUUAGAAAUGACUUGAGAAGUGUAGGAUAAGUAGGAGCUCUCGAGCAAAAUUGAAAUACCACUACAUUUAAACGUUAUUUCACUUAUUCCGUAAAUCAAAAAUGGGGUACAGCCCCUCUUUUUAGACCCAAGGUUGGCUACGAUCGGCCGAUCCAGGAGGAAGACAUUGUCAGGUGGGGAAUUUGGUUGAGGUGGUACAUCUGUUAAAAGAUAACGCAGGUGUCCUAAGAUGAGCUCAAUGAGAACAAAAAUUUCGUGUGAAACAAAAGGGUAAAAGCUCGUGUGAUUCUGAUUUCCAGUACGAAUACAAACUGUGAAGCGUGGCUUAUCGAUCCUUUAGACCUUCAAAAUUUGAAGCUAGAGGUGUCAGAAAAGUUACCACAGGGAUAACUGGCUUGUGGCAGCCAAGUGUUCAUAGGCAGAAUUCACCAAGUGUUGGAUUGUUCACCCGCCAAUAGGGAACAUGAGCUGGGUUUAGACCGUCUUGAGAUAGGUUAGUUUUACCUUACUGAUGGCCGCGUCGAAAUAGUAAUUCAACCUAGUACGAGAGAAAUCAUUGAUUCGUACAAUUGGUCAUCGUGAUUGGUUGAAAAGCUAGUGGCACGAAGCUACCGUGCACUGGAUUAUGACUGAACGCCUCUAAGUCAGAAUUUGGGCUAGAAGAGACGCACGCGCCUGUCGCCCGAUUGCCGACCUGCAAUAGGGGCCUUUGGCCCCCACGGGCACGUGUCGUAGGUGCAGCGACCGUGGCAGACAAGUCACGGGCGCCUUCUCGGAGCGUAAUUC